AUUUUUUCUCUCACACAGUUUGAUAAAUCUGGGCCACUGUGUUUAUUAUUUUUGUAGGCAGCCUGGGGACAAUAUGAGUUGAGAAGUAUAGUGGGUUUCAUCUCCCUGAAUGUUCUCGAGAAAGGCUGCAAUCAUGGCAUCCAACAAUGCCCUAAAUAAGAUCAAAUAUUGCUGCUGCCUCUUAAAGAAGGAUGGGGGCUUUAGUAAGACAUAAGACAGAAAUUCAAGCCAGAAAAAAUAAACAAAGACGAAUCAUUGAAGCUAUAGAGUAGUAGAAAUAAAUCAAAGAUGAAGAUAGGAUUCUGACCCAAGGAAAGUUUGUUCUCAGCAAACCCUUUUCAUGCAGUCUGAACACAAAGCAUAUGGCAUCCUCUCAUUUAUAGAUAAUCACAGGUCUUCAGGAGAGGAGACCACUACAACCCAUGUGUUUGCUAUUAUACUUUGC